GGGGAGGACUGGGUGGCAGAGACUUGCUGGGCAGGGUUAGGGUUAGCAGCUGCACACCAAGGCCUAGCCUGUACUACAAGGACUCAGCAGCCAGCUCACAGCAAGUGCUGGGCCUUGUAACCAGGAGGGCAGCCAAUCAAAAGGAAUAAACCCAAAGUUCAGCUCUGAAGUAGAAGGAGCCAUGAGAGUGAGACAGGCUGUGCAGCCACAUACAUUCAGGUUAAACAACAGAGCCCGUUUGGCACCACAACCAGACAGCUUCCCAGAUGCUCCUCUUAUAACUGUCCCUGGCUUUUCCCCUCCUAUGGCUUCUGAGCUCUCAUAUGAGCUAGGAUCGGAAAGCAGGCUUGAUACACAGGGUCUCCAGCUUCCUGAGAAGUGGACUGCACUGCUUGAUUGCUUGGACCAUGUUUCUUACAGGGGCUGUUGCACUUCCAGUUCCCAGGUGAGAGCCCACCAGCAGACAUCUGCCUGUGCAGAACUACCCUGAGCCCUGUGAAGAGUCCUCCAUACCCACCUUACUGUCAAUGCUGCAAGGAUGUCCCGCUGCCGCAGGCCAGACAUAGAGGAGGCUGCAGACACAAAGGUACCAGGCACAUUCCAUUUGGCUUCAGGAAACUGCACAACAGAAAAAUGAGUCACAGGGAGGUUGUGGGGGACAGAAGUCUCCAGGCCCUGCCCCACUGAAAUGAUGGUGUGACAUAGCCAGUGCUGGGAAGAGACCAGACUAUUUCCUCCCCGGAUCCUGUCCCAUGGCAGGGACCAGUGUCCAUUGACUCCAGGCACUUCUGGUACA